UGAGGAAUAUUGGUCAAUGGACGAGAGUCUGAACCAGCCAAGUAGCGUGAAGGAUGAAGGUCCUACGGAUUGUAAACUUCUUUUAUAAGGGAAUAAACCCUCCCACGUGUGGGAGCUUGUAUGUACCUUAUGAAUAAGCAUCGGCUAACUCCGUGCCAGCAGCCGCGGUAAUACGGAGGAUGCGAGCGUUAUCCGGAUUUAUUGGGUUUAAAGGGAGCGCAGACGGGUCGUUAAGUCAGCUGUGAAAGUUUGGGGCUCAACCUUAAAAUUGCAGUUGAUACUGGCGUCCUUGAGUGCGGUUGAGGUGUGCGGAAUUCGUGGUGUAGCGGUGAAAUGCUUAGAUAUCACGAAGAACUCCGAUUGCGAAGGCAGCACACUAAUCCGUAACUGACGUUCAUGCUCGAAAGUGUGGGUAUCAAACAGG
rnacentral:rRNA from 3 species